rnacentral:rRNA from 1 species
ACACUCCUGCGGGAGGCAGCAGUGGGGAAUUUUGGACAAUGGGCGAAAGCCUGAUCCAGCCAUGCCGCGUGCAGGAUGAAGGCCUUCGGGUUGUAAACUGCUUUUGUACGGAACGAAACGGCCUUUUCUAAUAAAGAGGGCUAAUGACGGUACCGUAAGAAUAAGCACCGGCUAACUACGUGCCAGCAGCCGCGGUAAUACGUAGGGUGCAAGCGUUAAUCGGAAUUACUGGGUGUAAAGCGUGCGCAGGCGGUUAUGUAAGACAGUUGUGAAAUCCCCGGGCUCAACCUGGGAACUGCAUCUGUGACUGCAUAGCUAGAGUACGGUAGAGGGGGAUGGAAUUCCGCGUGUAGCAGUGAAAUGCGUAGAUAUGCGGAGGAACACCGAUGGCGAAGGCAAUCCCCUGGACCUGUACUGACGCUCAUGCACGAAAGCGUGGGGAGCAAACAGGAUUAGAUACCCCAGUAGUCCCAUGAU